GAUUAACGCUAGCGGCAGGCAUAAUACAUGCAAGUUGAACGGCAGCACAGGUAGCAAUACUGGGUGGCGAGUGGCGCACGGGUGCGUAACACGUAUGCAACCUACCCUAUACAGGCGAAUAACCUUUAGAAAUGAGGGCUAAUACGCCGUAGUAUUACAGAUGGGCAUGUAUUUGUAAUUAAAGAUUUAUCGGUAUAGGAUGGGCAUGCGUCCCAUUAGUUAGUUGGUAAGGUAACGGCUUACCAAGACGAUGAUGGGUAGGGGAUCUGAGAGGACUUACCCCCACACUGGUACUGAGACACGGACCAGACUCCUACGGGAGGCAGCAGUAAGGAAUAUUGGGCAAGGGCCGCGAGGCUGACCCAGCCAUGCCGCGUGCAGGAAGACGGCCUUAUGGGUUGUAAACUGCUUUUAUACGGGAAUAAUAGAGUGUACGCGUACAUUUAUGCAAGUAUCGUAUGAAUAAGCAUCGGCUAACUCCGUG
rnacentral:rRNA from 1 species